CCUACGGGUGGCAGCAGUGGGGAAUAUUGGGCAAUGGGCGCAAGCCUGACCCAGCAACGCCGCGUGAAGGAAGAAGGCUUUCGGGUUGUAAACUUCUUUUCUCAGGGACGAAGCAAGUGACGGUACCUGAGGAAUAAGCCACGGCUAACUACGUGCCAGCAGCCGCGGUAAUACGUAGGUGGCAAGCGUUAUCCGGAUUUACUGGGUGUAAAGGGCGUGUAGGCGGGAAAGCAAGUCAGAUGUGAAAACCAUGGGCUCAACCUGUGGCCUGCAUUUGAAACUGUUUUUCUUGAGUACUGGAGAGGCAGACGGAAUUACUAGUGUAGCGGUGAAAUGCGUAGAGAUUAGGAGGAACACCAGUGGCGAAGGCGGUCUGCUGGACAGCAACUGACGCUGAGGCGCGAAAGCGUGGGGAGCAAACAGGAUUAGAUACCCCUGUAGUC
rnacentral:rRNA from 1 species